rnacentral:rRNA from 1 species
UACGGAGGGUGCAAGCGUUGCUCGGAAUUAUUGGGCGUAAAGGGUAGGUAGGUGGUCUCAUUUGUCUGGGGUGAAAGCCUUGAGCUUAACUCAAGAAGUGCCCCAGAAACGGUGAGACUGGAGUCCUGGAGAGGGUCGUGGAAUUCCCGGUGUAGCGGUGAAAUGCGCAGAUAUCGGGAAGAACACCCGUGGCGAAGGCGGGUCUCUGGGACGGUACUGACGCUGAGACGCGAAAGCGUGGGGAGCGAACAGG